UCGGGAAUUUUGGGCAAUGGGCGAAAGCCUGACCCAGCAACGCCGCGUGAAGGAUGAAGUAUUUCGGUAUGUAAACUUCGAAAGAAUGGGAAGAAUAAAUGACGGUACCAUUUAUAAGGUCCGGCUAACUACGUGCCAGCAGCCGCGGUAAUACGUAGGGACCAAGCGUUGUUCGGAUUUACUGGGCGUAAAGGGCGCGUAGGCGGCCUAACAAGUCACUUGUGAAAUCUCCGGGCUUAACUCGGAACUGCCAAGUGAAACUGUCAGGCUAGAGUGCAGAAGGGGCAAUCGGAAUUCUUGGUGUAGCGGUGAAAUGCGUAGAUAUCAAGAGGAACACCUGAGGUGAAGACGGGUUGCUGGGCUGACACUGACGCUGAGGCGCGAAAGCCAGGGGAGCAAACGGGAUUAGAUACCCCUGUAGUCC
rnacentral:rRNA from 1 species